rnacentral:rRNA from 1 species
GCACAGGUUCCCUUGAACGGGACGCCGCAGAGGGUGAGAGCGCCAUCCGCGUCCGGGCGCAUUCGCCGCGAGAGGCUCCUUCGACGAGUGGAGUUAUUUGUGAGUGCAGCUCCAAGCGGGAGGUAUAUUCCUUUUAAAGCUAAACACCGGCCGGAGACCGAUAGCGCACAAGUAGAGUGAUUGAAAGAUGAAAAGCACUCUGGAAAGAGAGUGAAACAGUACGUGAAAUAGUUGAAAGGGAAGCGUUUGCCGCCAGACUGGACGGCGCCCGCUCGGCCGGCCCUCCGGGGCCGGCGCACUCGGGCGUCGCCGGGCCAGGGUCGGUUUGGGCGGCCGGACAAAGGCGCGGGGAACGUGGCUCCCUCGGGAGUGUUACAGCCCCGCGCGCAACGCGGCCAGCCCGGACCGAGGACCGCGUUCUGCCAGGACGCUGGCGUAAUGGCGGCCAACGGCCCGUCUUGAAACACGGACCAAGGAGUCUAGCACGCGUGCGAGUGUACGGGCGUCAGACCCGCACGCGCAAUGAAAGUGAACGGAGGUGGGAGCUCCCGCGCACCAUCGACCGAUCCCGAUGUUUUCGGAAGGAUUUGAGUAGGAGCGCGCGUGCUGGGACCCGAAAGAUGAUGAACUAUGCCUAGAUAGACUGAAGCCGCCCGAAAGGGCGGUGGAGGGUCGCAGCGGUUCUGACGUGCAAAUCGAUCGUCAAAUCUGGGUCAUA